ACUAUUUUGGCAGAUUAGUGCAAUAAAUUUAGAAUUUAUUUAUGUAAAUUGUAUUUACAAAUAGUA
rnacentral:tRNA from 1 species